UGGGGAAUCUUGCGCAAUGGGCGAAAGCCUGACGCAGCAACGCCGCGUGCGGGAAGACGGCCCUAGGGUUGUAAACCGCUUUCAGGGGGGACGAAGCUUCCGAGGUUAAUAGCCUACGGGGUGACGGUACCCCCAGAAGAAGCCCCGGCUAACUACGUGCCAGCAGCCGCGGUAAUACGUAGGGGGCGAGCGUUGUCCGGAAUCAUUGGGCGUAAAGCGCGUGUAGGCGGCUUGGCAAGUCUGGUGUGAAAACUUGGGGCUCAACCCCAAGCGUGCACUGGAAACUGCCUCGCUCGAGUCCGGGAGAGGAGAGCGGAACUCCCAGUGUAGCGGUGAAAUGCGCAGAUAUUGGGAAGAACACCGAUGGCGAAGGCAGCUCUCUGGAACGGUACUGACGCUGAGACGCGAAAGCGUGGGGAGCGAACAGGAUUAGAUACCCCCGUAGUCC
rnacentral:rRNA from 1 species